CAGCAGCCGCGGUAAUACGAAGGGUGCAAGCGUUACUCGGAAUUACUGGGCGUAAAGCGUGCGUAGGUGGUGGUUUAAGUCCGUUGUGAAAGCCCUGGGCUCAACCUGGGAAUUGCAGUGGAUACUGGAUCACUAGAGUGUGGUAGAGGAUAGUGGAAUUUCCGGUGUAGCAGUGAAAUGCGUAGAGAUCGGAAGGAACAUCUGUGGCGAAGGCGACUAUCUGGGCCAACACUGACACUGAGGCACGAAAGCGUGGGGAGCAAACAGGAUUAGAGACCCGUGUAGUCCCUGUCUCUUAUAC
rnacentral:rRNA from 1 species